rnacentral:rRNA from 1 species
CUAAGUUUGAUGGCGACCGGCGCACGGGUGAGUAACACGUAUCCAACCUGCCGAUGACUCGGGGAUAGCCUUUCGAAAGAAAGAUUAAUACCCGAUGGCAUAGUUCUUCCGCAUGGUAGAACUAUUAAAGAAUUUCGGUCAUCGACGGGGAUGCGUUCCAUUAGCUUGUUGGCGGGGUAACGGCCCACCAAGGCAUCGAUGGAUAGGGGUUCUGAGAGGAAGGUCCCCCACAUUGGAACUGAGACACGGUCCAAACUCCUACGGGAGGCAGCAG